rnacentral:rRNA from 1 species
UACGUAGGGGGCAAGCGUUAUCCGGAUUUACUGGGUGUAAAGGGAGCGUAGACGGCAGGGCAAGUCUGGAGUGAAAGGCAGGGGCCCAACCCCUGGACUGCUCUGGAAACUGUCCGGCUGGAGUGCAGGAGAGGUAAGUGGAAUUCCUAGUGUAGCGGUGUAAUGCGUAGAUAUUAGGAGGAACACCAGUGGCGAAGGCGGCUUACUGGACUGUAACUGACGUUGAGGCUCGAAAGCGUGGGGAGCAAACAGG